rnacentral:lncRNA from 1 species
AUGUGUUAUAGAGCAAAAGGUAAUGGAGAGGAGCAAGUAGCAUUUAGUCGCUGUGAGAAGGCACUUAUGAAGUUAAAAGACAAAAUGUGAUGGAUCUCCAAUGGAAGUUACCUAUAGAGUGAAAAAGAUGAGUGACCAUCCUAUGAAAAUACCUAUAUUUUGUUAUUAAUAACAUAUAUUCUAGUAUAUAAUUUAUAAGCAUGUAGAUAAUCUAUAUAUUCUUACAUGUGUAAAGAUAAAUUUUAUCAGAUUAAUUAAGAAGAAAAGUGUACAAAUUGUCACUAAUACAUAAAUAGUUUUUGGAAGUUGUAUGAAAAUGUAAACAUCUGUCUACAGUUUUUCAAGUGCCUAAAGUGAACAAACUUUUCCAUAUAUUUAAAAUUGAAUUUCGGAGUUAUCUUGUGUCACACCAACAUUCUUCUCAAAAUUCAAAAUAGGUAUCUUUGUUAUAACUAAACAAUCAAAUAGUAUACAUAUAUUCUGGCAUAUUAGUGUGCACACACAUAUUACUAAUUCGAAUCCAGUUUACCAGUUUUAAAUCGAAUACGAAUUCAAGAAAUAUAUAAAACUAUUGUAAAAAUUCGAUUUGAGUAAUUUAAAAAUUCAUUAUUCAAUUCGACAAAUAUCCCUAGUUCAUAUAUAGUACUUCACAAAAUAGGUUCAUGCAAACUACUAUUCUCUUGAUUGAUAAAGACUGAAGUUAAAUAACAAAAUGGAAGAAACAACAGGUUGCAUAAAAGAACUGAAGUCUCAAAAAUUGAAGAAUUGUUAAAAAACAAUUGUGAACUUAUGAAUCAACUGUUUUGCCAAGUCAGAUGUUAAUAUUUCUACCGGUCUUAAUUUAUUGUAUUGUAGAUAGUCACUAUGAAAGUGAUGUUAGAGUGAUAUCAGUUUAGUUUAGCUGAUAUCAAUUAGUAGUUUAGUCACUUAUUUAAAUAGAUCAUGACCUUCAUCAUAUCUACAACAAUUCAUGUAAGUGAUAUCAUGUUGAGCAGUGAGCACUAAUUGUACUAAUUCAAUUAAAUGAGAAUGUAUGUUAACUAUU